rnacentral:rRNA from 1 species
AUUGAACGCUGGCGGCAGGCCUAACACAUGCAAGUCGGGCGAGCGGAGGACGGGUGAGUAAUGUAUGGGGAUCUGCCUGAUGGAGGGGGCUAACUAAUGGAAACGGUAGCUAAUACCGCAUACCAUCAGAUGAACCCAUAUGGGAUUAGCUAGUAGGUGAGGUAACGGCUCACCUGGGCGACGCUCCCUAGCUGGUCUGAGCGGAUGAGCAGCCACACUGGGACGGAGACACGGCCCAGACUCCGACGGGAGGCAGCAGUGGGGAAGAUUGCCCAAGGGGCGCAAGCCUGAUGCAGCCAUGCCGCGUGUAUGAAGAAGGCCUUCGGGUUGUAAAGUACUUUCAGUCGGGAGGCGUUACCGACAGAAUAAGCACCGGCUAACUCCGUUCCAGCAGCCGCGGUAAUAC